AAAGCAAUUAGCAUUUUGCACACUCCAGCAUACUGAACUGUGGGAUUUCACUUGUCCCUUCAGCAAAGUAGCAGGUGGAAGCGGAACGGAUCUGAACGCAAAGGACAGUUACGUAAUUGACCUAGAGUCCCAGACCACCUGAUGCCGCUAGUCUGCAGCUUCCCUUUCAACCUCUCCCAGGCAAGCUCGUGCAGCCUAGCAACUAAUCACACGCGUGACAUUUUGGCGCCUGAGUGUACUUUCUUCACAGGCUGGAAGCUGUAGCAUGGCUCCAAAGAAAAUCCCUUUUGCUUGUCUGAGAUGAGGAAGUGAGAUAGAUUAGAACCGAAAGUCAUUCUUUUAUUUUAUAUAUCUGAUCUAAACUUUUUGGGGGAGUCCGGCUCCUCGAGGGUACAGGGCCAAGCAGGAGCUCACCAGCUAUACUCUCGGAAAUUUUUCCAGUUUAAUGGAGCCUCCUUCAAGCUGAGUCCCUGGGAGGCACCGAGGAUGCAGCAUCUUUGUGCCUUCACGGCUGAACCUGGAAAUCACACCCUGACAUCGGUCUCCUUUUCGGCUGGGUACCUCUCCGUUGACACUGUCAGUUUGGAAUCUCCAUUCUUUUCAACUGCAACUUCCGGUGGCUGGGGUCCGCCCCGGUGACAGCUGCCCUGUACUUCCAUUGCAAAAGCACUUAGCUUCUCUUCGACGGCCCCAAUCUCUCCACCACCCAAGGCUGCUUGCUGGCACCCAUUCCUGCAACUUCAGGUCCCAGGCACGUCCGCCCCCCUUUCCUUAACAAACUGCCCGCAUCUCAUAUCUUUCCGCUUUGAGUUCUCGUUGCAAAUCUCAGCAAAUGCAAUGAGCAAUAAACAAGCUACGGCCCGAAUACCAGGCUGCCUUGAAAUUCUCUCCACCCAACAAAAUUAAUUCGUAAUUUUUGAAUUCAGUCUAAUUCGAAUUUUCAGGACACUAGCAGAAUGCAGCCAUAUUUUCUACCAUAAUAUAACAUAAAUGGCCUUAAAGUCCUUCUCCCCUCCCACCCACCUCCUCCUGGGACCUAGUAAGUAUAGUCUUCCCUGUCCACAUUUCUUUUGGCAUUCUGGUCUUCCCAGUAGAAUGGACCGUUGACCUUUGACUACAGCAUUCUAGAGCUCCAAAUGCUUCCACAUUCUCCUGAAAACCAUGUCAGUAGGCCUAGACCCUGUGGGAAGAACUAGAUAGAACCUAGAUAGAUAGGCCUAUUAAAAAAAAUCGUGCACCAUCUAUAGUGACAGAUGUCCCUCAAAUAGGCCACACCUCCUAAAUCUACUAUAAUCUCCCAAAAUGGCACCACCAUCUGGGGACCAAGUGUUCAAACACACGAGCUUAUGGAAGGCACCUUCAUGUAACUUAAGACUUGAAUGAACAAUGCAGAUAAAGAACCUUGAAUUGC